CAGUAGCCGCGGGAAUACGUAGGUGGCAAGCGUUGUCCGGAAUUAUUGGGCGUAAAGGGCUCGCAGGCGGUUUCUUAAGUCUGAUGUGAAAGCCCCCGGCUCAACCGGGGAGGGUCAUUGGAAACUGGGAAACUUGAGUGCAGAAGAGGAGAGUGGAAUUCCACGUGUAGCGGUGAAAUGCGUAGAGGUGUAGAGGAACACCAGUGGCGAAGGCGACUCUCUGGUCUGUAACUGACGCUGAGGAGCGAAAGCGUGGGGAGCGAACAGGAUUAGAUACCCGAGUAGUCCCUGUCUCUUAUAC
rnacentral:rRNA from 1 species